rnacentral:rRNA from 1 species
UACGUAGGGGGCUAGCGUUGUCCGGAAUCAUUGGGCGUAAAGCGCGUGUAGGCGGUUCGGUAAGUCCGCUGUGAAAGUCGGGGCUCAACCCUCGAAUGCCGGUGGAUACUGUCGGACUAGAGUACGGAAGAGGCGAGUGGAAUUCCUGGUGUAGCGGUGAAAUGCGCAGAUAUCAGGAGGAACACCAAUUGCGAAGGCAGCUCGCUGGGACGUUACUGACGCUGAGACGCGAAAGCGUGGGAGCAAACAGG